rnacentral:tRNA from 1 species
AGGGGCAUAGUUUUAGUGGUAGAACAGCGGUUUUCAAAACCUUAGGUGACGGUUCAAUUCCUACUGCCCCUA